rnacentral:rRNA from 1 species
GACGAACGCUGGCGGCGUGCUUAACACAUGCAAGUCGAACGCUGAAGCUCAGCUUGCUGGGUGGAUGAGUGGCGAACGGGUGAGUAACACGUGAGUAACCUGCCCUCUUCUUUGGGAUAACGCCCGGAAACGGGUGCUAAUACUGGAUAUUCACUGAUUCUCGCAUGGGGGUUGGUGGAAAGGUUUUUUCUGGUGGGGGAUGGGCUCGCGGCCUAUCAGCUUGUUGGUGGGGUGAUGGCCUACCAAGGCUUUGACGGGUAGCCGGCCUGAGAGGGUGACCGGUCACAUUGGGAGUGAGAUACGGCCCAGACUCCUACGGGAGGCAGCAGUGGGGAAUAGUGCACAAUGGGCGAAAGCCUGAGGCAGCGACGCCGCGUGAGGGAUGGAGGCCUUCGGGUUGGAAACCUCUUUCGCUCAUGGUCAAGCCGCAGCUUUGGGUUGUGGUGAGGGUAGUGGGUAAAGAAGCGCCGGCUAACUACGUG